AAGUCGUAACAAGGUUUCCGUAGGUGAACCUGCGGAAGGAUCAUUAUCACGUAUCCACGUACCAACCAAUGUGAACUGUUUUCGCGCUCCCCUUCGCAGAGAAUGAAUGGCAAAUGGCAGGAGACAUGAUUGGGUUAGCCUUAAUUGCGCGACGCCUCCUGUUUCAAUACACUUCGCGGAUCGUCAAAACAUUCGCGUAACAUUGCAUCUCUGUCGGAGGACAAACACAUGUUUCGAGGGCCGGCCGCCAGUCAUAGCCUUCUGCGCUCGAAACAAAAAUUCUAUAAAUUAACUAAAUUCACCAACUUCAUUUUGCUAGUUGACUUUUUUAAUUUGUGCGUUGGAAUUUUUUUAAAUGAAAUUCUUUCGUGCACGUUUUAUUAAUAUAAUUAAACGUAAAAAGAUACAACUCUUAGCAAUGGACGUCUUGGUUCUC
rnacentral:misc_RNA from 1 species